rnacentral:lncRNA from 1 species
UACAUGUAUUUGUUCUCUCACUACUCAUUCUUGUUAAGUGUAAAGAUUUAGAAAGCUAGCUUAAGUGAGGCUGCUGAUUAGCCCAGAAGAACGCUUGCCUGAAUACAGGAAGCCCUGAGGUCUAUCCACAGCACCAUAGAAAACCAGAUGUGGCUGGCCACAUCUAUAAACCCAGCACUCAUUUGGAAGGUGGGAGGUGGGAAGAAGCCAUCCACAGUUACAUAGUAAAUAACAAGCCAGCGUAGGCAUUCGAAACUGCCCCUCAAAACAAACAAACACAAAAACCUCAACAACAAAAAUAUCCCAUUUGUACCAACUGAUUGUUUUGGUGUUGUUUUGGGUGUUGCUUUUGUUUUUCUUUUUAUAAUCCUUUAUUUGAAUGAGACCUCUAUACAAGUCUUAUUUAAAAAUUUUCAAGUCUGGGGUUGGGGAUUUAGCUCAGUGGUAGAGCGCUUGCCUAGGAAGCGCAAGGCCCUGGGUUCGGUCCCCAGCUCCGAAAAAAAGAACCAAAAAAAAAAAAUUUUUUUUCAAGUCUUCUGGCUACCAAAUCAAAGACCCAUGACAUAAAACAGAGCAGUCUGUGUUCUUUUUAAAAGGCUUUAUGUGUAUUCUCUCAAUAUAGAUGCUUAGACAACACUUCCCUUGGGUUGCACAUCGACAUAUAACAUUGUAUAUUACAAUGAAAAUUUGUAACUUAAGGGUAUUAUAUAAAUAUAUAUAAGUAUAUAUGCCUUUGUAACCUUUUUAUUGUAAAUAAAAAGUUGCUUUU